rnacentral:tRNA from 1 species
GGGUGGAGCUCAGUGGUAGAGCGCAUGCUUAGCAUGCACAAGGUCCUGGGUUCAAUCCCUAGUACCUCCA